rnacentral:rRNA from 1 species
UACAGAGACCUCAAGCGUUAUCCGGAAUCAUUGGGCGUAAAGCGUACCGAUAGGUGGUUGAUUAAGUCUUGGGUAAAAGCCAGAAGCUUAACUUCUGAGUUUGCUUAAGAUACUAAUCAGCUAGAGGGGCAAAUAGGAAGCUGGAACGAGCGGUGUAGUAGUGAAAUGCGUUGAUAUCGCUCGGAACACCGAAAGCGUAGGCAGGCUUCUGGGUGCCACCUGACACUGCUAGGACGAAAGCGUGGGGAGCGAAUGGG